CUAGGCAGGGCAGGGUAUUUUAUAUUUUACUAUUCAAAGUGUCAUCUUCUGACCAGCAGCAUCAGCAUCACCUGGGAACUUGUUAGAAAUGCAGAAUGUUAGAAUCGCAGACCCCACUCUGGAUCUGCACUUAAGGAUUCCCCAGUGAUUCCUGUGAACAUGGAAAUUUGGGAAGCGAUGGCCUGAGACAAGUCCAAGAUAGUGCCUUUGGACUUAAUUAAACUUCGGGGAUUUGGGUCCUUAUUUACAUAAAGAUGGACUGAUCAAGGACCUAGGGAGGACUUCAGUGUGUUUAAGUCAACUUCACUCUGGCUCUUUAGAGGUACUUUCCCUUUCUACUGAAGACUGUGUUCCUCAGCUGAGCUGAAACACUAAAGAUACCUCACGGGAGUGGAGUGGAACAGACCAGUUCAUGGCAAAGCAGACCACUAAGAUGCGGAGCAGAGCUGUCUUAGCUAGGGAGGGGCCUGCUGUAUCACUACUGAACUCUUCAUAGCCAUGCUAAGUCACUAUUAGGCUGUUUUGCACUAAACUUUCCUUCUUUACCACAGUCAGAUUGAGGAUUGCUGUUGUUGUAUUGCUGCAGAUGUCCAUUGGCUGACAGUUUUUAGGGAGGCCUCUACUUUCAGCCCAGGAAUCAGCACUUUCUUUGUUAAGUAGGUGAAAAUAGAUGAAAAAAAGGGAAGAUGAUAGUCCACAUUUUGUUCACAAUCUAAACAGCUGUGGUUUUAUGGUUGGAAAUUCUCCUUAAGGCUUUUUAAGUCUUUCUUAAAAGUAAGCUGUGUAUACAACUCUCCUUUUCUUGGUUAGACAAAAUGAAAUGGGUUUUGAAAAUUGGAGAUGGAUGAAUGAGGUUUUUAUACAUCAUCACUUGCUUUUACUUAUCAGCUCUUGUUCUGUUCACUUGCUUCUGGAAUGAGGCAUUUUUAAUAAGGAGAGGAAUUUAAAAAGGGGGUCAGGGAUACCAAAACACAGAAAGAAAAAUUCUGCUAAGCUCUUAGGUUUUCUCAGUUCUUUAAAGUGCUUGAAAAGUAAUAUUUUGUUGUGGCUAAAUCUAAUUAAUAGCUAGCUGGUACUCAUCAAAACCUCAUUUCUUUCAACCUUGAAGGCAGUUGGAAAGCUACACAGAUCUGUGUAUUAUCACAGCAAACAAAUUCUCUUUUUUCCUUAAUCACUUAGAGGUUUAUCAGCAAUGUAAGCAGCAGAUGGACAGCCGUGUUUAAAAAAAAUAAAACACAUCUCAUGGUUUUCACUGUGGCAUGUAAUGAAUGUAUAUUGAUUGAUAGGAUCAUGUUCAAAAUAUAUAUAAAUUUGAAACCUGAGUCUAAACUGUAGUAGGCAUGGUUCUUAACUGAGUAUCCAGCCUGUGCCUGAGUUUUUGGAUGGAAUCAGCAAGUCUUUGGAAGCCUGUUCUCUGCCCUGUAGGGCUUCAUCAGGAUGCUGUGGACGGACUGGAUUUAAACAAAAAGAGAGGAUGACAGUGUUCACUUAGGAGGAGGACACGGGAGGAUUACAGCACAGGGACCUGCACCUGUGCCUUUGCAGGGUGCAGCUCUGGGCUGCUGGUUGCAUGGGCAUUUCUUCCAUUCUGAGCAGACCUAGUAUGAGUUGACAUGGUGGCCAAUGUGCUGAUGGGCUCAGGUAAAUUAGGUCAGGCCUUCAUUGUAGCUCUUGGAUGCUGGGAAUCCUAGUAGGAGAGAAACAGUGAUUGCAAAUACUGCUUAUUUAGAGGACAAGAGCCACUUCCGAGGGGUGUCCCCAGCCCUCCUACAAAUCAAUUAUUUCUGUUGAAGCACACCCAGAACUUGAUGAUAUUUCAUGUUUGUUAGGUAGACUGUUACACAGUUUGGCAAGAAUUUAAGUGUCUACUUUGUACCAAGUCCUUGGUACUGCAGUUAAGCCUCAGAGCUGCUGUUCAGUUGCUUAUGCCAAUGGAGCCAGCAACAUCCCUCAGCACUUUGCUUUGUAUGUCUGUACUUAAUCUGUGGUAGUAAUCUGGCAGCCCUGCUUUCAAGCCUGACUCUUAUCAAUAAAGCGACAAAGAAAUCUGCACAGUGUGUUUGGGGAAAUGGCUUACAGGAAGAAAUGCGAUGUUAGGACAAAAUUGGCCUGAUCUGUACAUAGCUAAGGCUGAGAUUGACAGGGCAUUGUUAUAACUAAUGCUUUUUUAAAAAACUAUUCCUAAUCUGUUGUGGGAAAAUGAAGGAGUUUUUCUUAAUCUGGGUGAAAAGUGAGAAAGCCUGUCUGUUUACAGAUGUCAUUUAGUCAAAACACACAAAUGACAGUCUACAUUCUUUGCUUUCCAUCUGGACAUACUGUACGUGGCUGAGCUGUGACAAUCUCCCACCUCCCUGGACAGAACCGAGCAAGACGUGGGUGUUUCCUUUGUGGCCCGAAUGUAGCAGCGUUGUCAGCCAUGAACUCUUUGCUUCCACCAUGUGUGGAUGGUGA